rnacentral:rRNA from 1 species
UGAGACACGGCCCAGACUCCUACGGGAGGCAGCAGUAGGGAAUCUUGGACAAUGGGGGCAACCCUGAUCCAGCCAUGCCGCGUGAGUGAAGAAGGCCCUAGGGUCGUAAAGCUCUUUCGCCUGUGAUGAUAAUGACAGUAGCAGGUAAAGAAACCCCGGCUAACUCCGUGCCAGCAGCCGCGGUAAUACGGAGGGGGUUAGCGUUGUUCGGAAUUACUGGGCGUAAAGCGCGCGUAGGCGGGUUGUUAAGUUAGAGGUGAAAUCCCGGGGCUCAACCCCGGAACUGC